CGGAACCGCCUCUGUGGGCGAGGGGACGCGAGCCAGGGAGCUGACCGCGCCGGAGCCUCGGCCCCCAGGCCGCAGACUCAGCCUCUGUGGGACCCCCAUUCAUAAAUGCGGAAGACGGGACACAGAGAAGGGAACUACCAAGGUCACACAGGAGUUAGUGGCUCAGCGUGGGUAAGAACCCAGGUCUCCCGGCCCAGCGCUGCUCUGCACAGCGUCCCACAGCGACUGGCGGUUUGCUGUUGGGUAAAUGGAGUCUUGCCCAACACAUGAGCAGCAGAGCCAGGACUUGAACUCAUGCAUCUGGUUCCAGACUCCCCAUGCAGCCUCCAAGCAGCUGCCCAGGGAAAGGGAGCUGGGCUGGCCCAGGCUUGUGCUCCAGACUUAGUCCUCCCCGAUGAUAAAGUUGCACUUUGCAAAACUGCUCCUCUGGGUUUCUCUGGGCCCAACUCUGGCUUCCUGCCUCCAGGAGAUCCCCUCUGACUUCCGAGAGUAGGUGACCCUUCUGACUCAUAGCGUCACUGCUGGGAAGUGGCGCCAGAGCCCUGCCCCCGCCACCCCCCUCCCUCCAGGUCACAGGGUAUUGAGCCAGGAGGAGCAGGGAGGCACAUGGGCUGGAAACUUGGGCCUCCUAGAGAUCAGGGUCUCAAGGCAGCUCCCCCCGGGACACCAGGGAGCAGCCAGGCAGCUGGGUGUCUAGACCCUGUCUCCUGGGCGCUGCUGGGGGAGGAGGUCAGGCGGGGACCCUGUGGUAGUAAAGAGGCUUAAACUGCAGCUGGGGGAGACUUAAUCAGAGGGUCAGGGAAGGCCUAGGAGGGCACCCGCCCUCUUCGGGGUAUGUCCAGCCUCAGCCCAGCCCUGCUUCCCCCUCAGGUGUGUUCCCACCUCCCUCCACCCAUUUCCUCCCCGCUGCUUUUCCUCUUUCUAUCCCUCUUUUCCAAACCCCAGCGUUUCUCCACAUCGGCUGCCUGUAUGCAUAUCCCCUUCCCCGCGCGCGCACACACACGCACACACACACACAGACACACACACACACAGACACACGCUCAUACACAUGCGAUACUCCAUGUUUGGCCCUGAGCCCCUUCUUGGACUGGAGUUUGAGCCUCAUGUCUUCUCCUGAGCUGAGCCCCACCCCCCUAGCCCAGGCAUCUUGGGCCUCCAUCUUCUCUCCUGAUGGGAGCGGUGGGCAUCUGAGCAGAUGGGAACCUGCGGGCUGCAGGGGCCCCUCUACGCAGCAGGAAGCACCCACGCCACAGUGGUGAAAAUCCUCAGCUGGGGGGGGGGUGGUGGUGUGGAGUGGGCAGCCAUCUGGCCCAGAUCUCUCAGGCUCAGCCUAGCUCUCAACAGCAACCCUGCAGUAAGAAAUCAGAACGCCUAAGAGAAACCCUUAGGCUCUAGAAACGUGCCCAGGGGUGGCCUGAACUUGAGUCCUGUCCCGUGGUUCUUUGAAAUUAGCAGCAGGCUCUGGCAUUGGGAGGAAAUGUCUAAGAGCUGACAUGAGUUCUAGGGGUGGGGAGGGCAAAGUCCUGGGCCCCUAGCCCCAGCCCCCAGCCCUGCCCAGCAGCUGUGCCUGGUUCCUGGGAGAAUAGACACUGGUCCUCCCUGCUGGCAGACAGCCCAGCCCACCUGGAGACAGAGCCUGGUCCUGGCCACCAGCAGGAGCUCAGCACCCCAGAGAAGGCCUACUGGGGACAGGCACUGAGACCUUAGCUCAGUGGGGGCUCAGCCUGACUUCCUCUGUUACAGUAGGAGACAGACUUAGCCAUAGAGGAAACCAGAAUUUGUUAUAAAUAGCAAAAAAAGAGAAAGAACUGCUGUGGAUUACAAAUACUCUGUCAGUCUUUGAAAACAAAACAAAACAAAACAAGCUAUUUUUGGUUUCAAAUGUCAGUGAGGGCUUAAUGUGCCACAGAACCUCAGACACGGGGUCUCCGUCCAUGCUGCUUCUCACACAGCGUCAGGGCCACGGCGGGAGCAGCGGCCGCGGGAGCAGCGGCCACGGUGGGAGCAGCGGCCACGGGAGCCCUCAGGUCAUCUAGUUCGACAGCUUCAUUUUCAGGUGCGGAAACUGAGGCCUAGAGAAGUGGGGGAACUUGUCCAAAGCUGCACAAAAAGCCGGUGAGCAGGCACAGACAGUCCCAGAGAGGGCAGUUCCCAUGAUAGCGCGGUAGGACCCAAAGGCUGAACAUCGGAGCCGGGGCUGUGUGUGUGUCAGGUUUGCAUCAAGUGAAGUCUGUGCAAAGUGACAGAAGACAGCCUGGAAGCCAGAGUGUGGUGACCCGAGUCACGGAGAUCUGGGUUCAGAUUCCGGAUCUGCCGCUCAAAGCCAUGUGAGGACUCCCACCCCUGGAACGAAGUCAGUCACACCCACCUGUUCUCAGGGCUGCGAUGAGGUGGGAACAGGGGAAGCUGUCCCGAGCACCCAGCACACGACUGCGCACAAGAUGGAAACGCAUUUCCUUCAUUUCCUAUGGCUUCUCCACCCCUUCUUCUGAGCCCCCACCUCUGACUGGGCAGAGGGCAGAUUUGUCAUCAAGACCUUAGGGGACAGGAAGGCUGAGAAGAGUGUGAGUGAGGCUGGGGGCAGGGGUGUGGCGAUGAGGUCUCCUGCCUCAGCAUCGUGGUUGAUGGGGGGCGGGUGGAGUGUCUCCAGCCUCCGCUGGCUGCGGGGAAGUGUUUGCCGAGGCAGGAGGGCCCCGGCGGGCUGGACCCCUGCAGAGCGUGGCCCCCUCACCACACGCAGCCACGCUGAUAUGUUUGGAGGCGUCUCUGAGCCAUGUCUCACUCAGCUCAGAGCUGCCCUGUGCCAAGGUUGUUUCAACCCUCACAAUGGCCUGUGAGGCAAAUACCGUUAUUGUCUUCAUUUUGCAGAAGAGGAAAUGGGCUCAGAGGUCCCUUGGCUGGCGUGGUGGUCAUUAGUGCUUCCACCAAGUAUUUCCCAACCCUCUGCCUCUGGCACAAGGCUGGCCGACGUGUCCUCACUCCCAUGUUAGGUGUGGCCCUGUGACUCCGAUUGACCAGUGAAACGUGGGCAGGACCCAAGUGUGUUACUCGGAGGCGGAAGCUCCCCGCAGCCCGGCCCCUCACCCAAGUUCACGUUGUCUGUAGACUGUGCGUGAGAAAUAAACUUUGAUUGUGCUAAGCCGCCAA